UACGGGGGGGGCAAGGCGUUGUUCGGAAUUACUGGGCGUAAAGCGCGCGCAGGCGGCUUACUAAGUCUGGUGUGAAAGCCCACGGCUCAACCGUGGAGGGCCUUGGAAACUGGUAAGCUUGAGUGCAGGAGAGGAGAGCGGAAUUCCUGGUGUAGCGGUGAAAUGCGCAGAUAUCAGGAGGAACACCGGUGGCGAAGGCGGGUCUCUGGGCAGUAACUGACGCUGAGGAGCGAAAGCGUGGGGAGCGAACAGG
rnacentral:rRNA from 1 species